GUGAACGCUGGCGGUAGACUUAACACAUGCAAGUCGAACGGCAGCACAGGAGAGCAUGCUCCCUGGGUGGCGAGUGGCGGACGGGUGAGGAAUACAUCGGAAUCUACUCUUUCGUGGGGGAUAACGUAGGGAAACUUACGAUAAUACCGCAUACGACCUUCGGGUGAAAGCAGGGGACCUUCGGGCCUUGCGCGAUUGAAUGAGCCGAUGUCGGAUGAGCUAGUUGGCAGGGUAAAGGCCCACCAAGGCGACGAUCCGUAGCGGGUCUGAGAGGAUGAUCAGCCACACUGGAACUGAGACACGGUCCAGACUCCUACGGGAGGCAGCAGUGGGGAAUAUUGGACAAUGGGCGCAAGCCUGAUCCAGCCAUACCGCGUGGGUGAAGAAGGCCUUCGGGUUGUAAAGCCCUUUUGUUGGGAAAGAAAAGCACUUGGUUAAUCCCCUUGUGUUCUGACGGUACCCAAAGAAUAAGCACCGGCUAACUUCGUGCCAGCCGCCGCCGUAA
rnacentral:rRNA from 1 species